UCUCCGUAGGUGAACCUGCGGAGGGAUCAUUACUGAGUGAGGGCUCACGCCCGACCUCCAACCCUUUGUGAACACAUCUUGUUGCUUCGGGGGCGACCCUGCCGGCACUCUGUCGCCGGGCGCCCCCGGUGGCUCACACCUCAACUCUUGCAUCUGUGCGUCUGAGUAACAUAUUGAAUCAAUCAAAACUUUCAACAACGGAUCUCUUGGUUCUGGCAUCGAUGAAGAACGCAGC
rnacentral:misc_RNA from 1 species